rnacentral:lncRNA from 1 species
UAGCCCUGAUUAAAUCAUGAAACUCCACACCCUUGGGUUUGCUCACAUGUGAAGAACUCUUGAAGUGAAGAAAAUUAGAUAUAUAUCAAACAUACAUCCACUUGAGAACCACAAGGUCCUUGAUCUCCUUUUUUUUUCUAACCUUGCUCUAGGUUGAAUUGAAUCUUGAGCAAUUCAAUAUCUUGAAUCGAUCCAGAUAUUGAGUCUUGUUCCCAAGUGUGAAAACUUAAGCUUAAGUUGAUAUUCAAGCUCAUCUUGCAAGAUAAUAGGAGAGCUGAUAAGUUCAGUGCUCUUUCUGUCAUCCCAUGCUGCCAUAAAUUUAAAUAAUGUGGUG